rnacentral:rRNA from 1 species
UACGGGGGGGGCAAGCGUUGUUCGGAAUUACUGGGCGUAAAGGGCUCGUAGGCGGCCAACUAAGUCAGACGUGAAAUCCCUCGGCUUAACCGGGGAACUGCGUCUGAUACUGGAUGGCUUGAAUCCGGGAGAGGGAUGCGGAAUUCCAGGUGUAGCGGUGAAAUGCGUAGAUAUCUGGAGGAACACCGGUGGCGAAGGCGGCAUCCUGGACCGAGAUUGACGCUGAGGCGCGAAAGCCAGGGGAGCAAACGGG